GGGAAAGCCGAGGCCCGGUGCUGUAUUCUGCCGCCCAUUUUACCCGCGGGGAAGCUGAGGCCCAGUGCUGUUUAAUAUCUUACUCAUGUUCACUUGAUGAGAAAGUGACAGAUCUGAGACAAACCCAGUUCUAGAGGUUAUGACACCAGCCAUGGAAGAGCAGAGAGGCCAAUGAGGUGGGGAGGUUGGAAACAAAAGGCCUUCUCCACCCCAGCUUGACCAACCCAAAAGCUGGAAGGCAAGGAAGACCUAGAAAGGGACCAGCUUGACGAAGCUUCUGCUUUUGUGACUGUCUCCUAAUGAAUUUAAGAGACACCAGAGGAUGGCACAUUUAUACUGAGCUUGCAGUUUCCUAAACAUGAAGAAGAUGAACGGCUCUCAGUUAAGCAGCACGGGUCAGAUAGGAGCUUGAAAUUGAAUAUUUGAGCUGACACGGGAGAGACAUACUUUUGAGAUUCCAAAUACGAUUUCUGUGGAGAAAACAAAAAAGGACUCUGUUUUUAAUUCAAAAGGGAGAAGUGAAAUUCUACCUCACUUUUUUAAAAGAAGAGCCUGGAAUUGGCCUAUCCGUCUUUUUCCCCGUUGGAUCACAGAGCAGAAAGGAAGCUAAGACCUCUAGUACAGUGUUCAAUGGAACUGGUGAGAAAAGACGUCCUUGCUGUGUUCCUGAUAUGAAGAGGAAAGCAGUCCUUCUCCAUUAAAUGCUGACAACAUGAGCCUCCCGUGGUCGGAACGGGCUUGUGAAGGCGGUGCUGGGGUGCACCAGGGCAGCAGCUACAGAGAUGGGAUUUCACCAUGUCACCCAGGCUAACCUGGAACUCCUGGGCUCAAGUGAUCCUCCCGCCUUGGCCUCCCAAAGUGCUGGGAUUACAGGGUCUCACUCUGUUGUCCAGGCUGGUUGCAGUGGUAUGAUCACAGCUUAUGGCAGCUUCAAUCAUAAGGGCUCAAGCAAUCCUCCGGCCUUAGCCUCCUGAGUAGCUGGGACUACAGGCAUGACCAUCGUGUCCAGCUAAUUUUUUUUUUUCUUUUGGUAGAAAUGGGGUCUGGCUGUGUUGCCCAGGCUGGUCUCGAACUCCUGGGCUCAAGCAGUCCUCCUGCCUUGGGCUCCCAAAGUGCUGGGAUUACAGGUGUGAGCCACUGUGUCUGGCCCCUUUCUUUAUUGGUGUCUUAUAUACUUUGGAUGUCUUAAGAAGUACAUAUCUACUGCAACACUGUGGAGACACUCCCCCAUGUUAUACCUUAGUAAUACACUGGUAAGCACUCAUACUGAGUAGCUCUGUGACUUGGGGAAAGAUCUCUCUCUGGACUGAGAUUUCUUGGUUUAUAAAAUGGGGGUAAUAAAGGUACCUGCUUUGUUAAGUUGUUUGGCAGGUUAACAGAGUUAACC
ensembl:lncRNA MIR646HG MIR646 host gene